rnacentral:rRNA from 1 species
UACGGAGGGUGCAAGCGUUAUCCGGAUUCACUGGGUUUAAAGGGUGCGUAGGUGGGUUGGUAAGUCAGUGGUGAAAUCCCCGAGCUUAACUUGGGAACUGCCAUUGAUACUAUCAGUCUUGAAUAUUGUGGAGGUUAGCGGAAUAUGUCAUGUAGCGGUGAAAUGCUUAGAUAUGACAUAGAACACCAAUUGCGAAGGCGGCUGGCUACACAAAUAUUGACACUGAGGCACGAAAGCGUGGGGAGCAAACAGG